CCUACGGGAGGCAGCAGCUAAGAAUCUUCCGCAAUGGGGGCAACCCUGACGGAGCGACGCCGCGUGGAUGAUGAAGGCCGUAAGGUUGUAAAAUCCUUUUCCUGGGGAAGAAUAAACGGGGGAGUGGAAAGCCCUCGGGAUGACGUUACCCAGGGAAUAAGCCCCGGCCAAUUACGUGCCAGCAGCCGCGGUAAUACGUAUGGGGCGAGCGUUGUUCGGAGUUAUUGGGCGUAAAGGGCAAGUAGGCGGUAGCCAAAGUUGGGUGUGACAUCUCCCGGCUCAACUGGGAGGGGCCACUCAAGACUAGGUUACUAGAGGGCAGGAGAGGGAAGUGGAAUUCCUAGUGUAGCGGUGAAAUGCUCAGAUAUUAGGAAGAACACCAGUGGCGAAGGCGGCUUUCUGGCCUGCACCUGACGCUGAGAGGCGAAAGCUAGGGGAGCAAACGGGCUUAGAUAUCCCGGUAGUCCUAGCCGUAAACAUUGGAUACUGGGGUAUUAGGGGGGCUAAAAUCCCUUAGUGCCGAAGCCAAACGCGUUAAGUAUCCCGCCUGGGGACUACGACCGCAAGGGUUAAAACUCAAAGGG
rnacentral:rRNA from 1 species